UACGUAGGUGACCAGCGUUGUCCGGAUUUACUGGGCGUAAAGAGCGCGCAGGCGGUCGUUCAAGUCGAGUGUGAAAGCCCCCGGCUCAACUGGGGAGGGUCAUUCGAUACUGAUCGACUGGAAGGCAGGAGAGGGAAGCGGAAUUCCCGGUGUAGUGGUGAAAUGCGUAGAUAUCGGGAGGAACACCAGUGGCGAAGGCGGCUUCCCUGGCCUGUUCUUGACGCUGAGGCACGAAGGUCGAGGGGAGGCAAACGGGGAC
rnacentral:rRNA from 1 species